rnacentral:lncRNA from 1 species
CCGAUCUUGAGCUCAUUGUAUGUUUUAAACAAGUUUUAAGUUGAUCUAUGGGGUAGAAAUGCAUGUUUAGGUUAGUUGAGCUUUGUUAGAUUUUAUGUGAUUAUAUGGACAAUGUGUGUUGGAUAUGCAUGUUUGAUGUGUUGUAGUUGGGGUUUAAGUUAGUUUGAAGCCCCUAGGAGCUUAUGUAUGUGUUUAUGUAUGUUUUGGUUGAGUUGUAUGCUUGAUUGGAAGGUUUGGGAGG